rnacentral:lncRNA from 15 species
AUGACACACAGACGAGACGUUCUCAUGAGGGGACAGCAGGACGCCGUCUGCAGGGACACAAACAUCUGCUACACAUUCCAGAACUACAUAUUCCAGAACUACACAUACAUAUUCCAGAACUACACAUUCCAGAACUACACAUCCAGAACUACACAUCCAGAACUACACAUCCAGAACUACACAUCCAGAACUACACAUCCAGAACUACAUAUUCCAGAACUACAUAUUCCAGAACUACACAUCCAGAGCUACAUAUCCAGAACUACAUAUUCCAGAACUACAUAUCCAGAACUACAUCUUCCAGAACUACAUCUUCCAGAACUACAUCUUCCAGAACUACACAUUCCAGAACUACACAUUCCAGAACUACACAUCCAGAACUACAUAUCCAGAACUACAUAUUCCAGAACUACACAUUCCAGAACUACACAUCCAGAACUACACAUCCAGAACUACAUAUUCCAGAACUACAUAUUCCAGAACUACAUACCCAGAACUACACAUCCAGAACUACAUAUCCAGAACUACACACGACUUCUUCUGUGGUUACAAACACUAACACAAUGUUGGAGACUGAACUCGGUCCUCUGAGCUCAGACGAGUUGUUGAUAACGUUACGACCUCGGGGGCGUUCUGUUCGCAACUUCCUGUUCGUAACUCAGGAAACCGACUCAGAGAUCGAGUCGGGUGGACGAAACGAACGCACCACAACUCUCUGCCCUCAAAACGCAUGACAUCACCACCUGUUAGCGUGACAUCACCACCUGUUAGCGUGACAUCACCACCUGUUAGUGUGACAUCACCACCUGUUAGUGUGACAUCACCACCUGAUGUUUUAACGUUUGAAAGUGAAACUAACAGAAACACAAAGUUUUGUUUUAUUCUGCUGAAACAUUUUAUUUUCUUCUUUCUUCAAUUAUUCUGAAGUUUCUUGUUUUUCACUUCCUGUUAUUUUUAUUUAGUUUCAUUAUUUAUGUGACGGAAAAUUUAAUAGUUGCAACUUUUGAUUGUUUGUAAAGAUUAAAGUUAGUAAAAUAAAGAAAAGUAAAUUAUGAUUAUUAUUUGUUUUAUUUGACUUAAACUUAAAAUAUUUAUUUACAGUGUUAAAUAUUAAAUUCAAUUAAUUCAGUUUAAAAAGCUUUAACGCAACAAUUACGUCAUAAAACGACUUUAUAUUUCUAACUUUGAAUCUAUUUUAUAUUAUUAUUUAUUUAUUCUUUGUUUCUGUUUCUGUUUCUUUCUGGUUGGAAAAAUAAAAACUCCAAACUGUCUUUAAAUACUGAACAAAAGAGAGAAAGGAUUUCAGAAAUGUGAAAGUAAAUUAAUGAAGUGACAAACAUUAUAAAGUCUAAAUAAGAUUAAAUAAAGAUUAAAUAAAGAUUAAAUAAAGUAAUGAGGAAGUAACAUUAAGUCAUUCUGUAACAGUCCACACAAUCAUAGAAAUACAUUCAUAUACAUUAAAAUAACAAUAAAACAGAAUUAGAGAAUUAAACUUUAAACAAACUGCGACUUCCUCAUCGACCUCCAUGCUAACAGCAGCUAGCUCCGUUAGCACCCGUACUCACUCUGUCCUCCGCGGGAAUCAGAGUCUCUGCGUCCUUUUUCACGUCCUUCUGUCCCAAAGCAGAGUUAAAAGACACUUUCACCAUCCUGGAAAACUUUGUGGCGAACUCCGAGCGGGAAAAAGCGCCGUUAAAAGGCGGUAAAACAACAAGAGAACAGAAGGAUUUCGCUCCGAAGUGAAGAAGUCGCACUUCUCUCCGGACAACUCCGAGCUGUUGUUGUGGUCGCAGCGAAGGUAAAGCUAGCGCGGAGCUAGCGCGGAGCUAGCGCACCGCUUCCGGUGUCAAAGUAAAAGCAUAACGCCCCAAACCUGGCAACAUUUCCUGCAUGAACUUAUUAUUAUUAUUAUUAUUAUUAUUAUUAUUAUUAUUAUAUACCCAGACUCUCUGUACAAGCAUUUCUAGAGAGAUAAAAUACUAAAAGUAAAAGUUUAAGAAAACGAGAGGAGCCGCAGUGACAGACAGCAGGAUUCAAUCUACAGUGUUUAAACUGUUCAUAUACUGUAACAAUAUAUAUAAUAUACUAUAGUUCUUAUUUUCAUAUUUCUCUGGAAGAAUCACAUUUAUUGAUUUUUAAUGUUUCAUUUAAGUUUCAUUGUGAAUUUGUUGAUAGAUAUAUAGAUACUUUAUCUAUCCUUUAUUUAUUAUUAUUUAUUAGAUUAGAUAUUGAUCAUUUGAAUUAUAUUAUACACACAAUGUAGUUUAUCUUUUAUUGAUUAAAUUGUUUUUUAAAGCUGAAUUUCAGGCUGGGAAAUUAUAUUAUUAUCAUAAUUUAGUUUGAAUUGAUCAACGACCUGUUUGCGCUGGACGACCUGGAGGUUUUAUAUCGGUAACGGUUACAGGCCGAAUUGGAAUUAAUUAAUUGAUUAAUUAAUGGAAUUAAUCAAACUUUUCUUCUUCUUUUUUAUUUUACUUCCAUCAUUACUAUAACAGCAGGAUAUUACUGCAGCUGGUUGAGCUCGAUGAAACAACUGCAGCUCUGAAACUGAACUAUAAUAAUAAUAAUAACUUUAUUUAUAUGUAUUAUAUAUAUAAAUAUCAUAUAUAUAUAUAUAUGAUAUAUAUAUAUAUGAUAUUUAUUUAUAUAUAUAUAUAUAUCAUAAAUAUAUAUGAUAUUUAUAUUUAUAUAUAUAUAUAUUUAUAUAGUCCAAAAUGACUUGACUGAAAGGAAAUGGCGCUCUUCCAAAUUAUCAGAAUAUCGCUCAAAUUGGCAAGAUAAUCUUAAAACUUAUAGAAAGGCCCUCCGUAAUGCCAGAGGAGCCUAUUACUCAGCACUAAUAGAAGAAAAUAAGAACAACCCUAGGUUCCUCUUCAGCACUGUAGCCAGGCUGACAGAGAGUCACAGCUCUAUUGAGCCACAUAUCCCCAUAAACUUAAGUACCAACGACUUCAUGACCUUCUUCUAUAAUAAAAUUAUUACUAUUAGAGAAAAAAUUAAUCACCAACUGCCAUCAACAGUUAUUACCGAUGCCAGCAUUUUCAGCAGUAUCGGAGGCAUUCCCAAUACUCGGAACAACUCCAGGUGAAAGCAACACUAAGUCAUCUGCAUCCGCAUUCAAGAGUAGGCUUAAGACAUUCCUCUUUGAUAAAGCUUAUAGUUAGGGCUGGAUCAGGUGAGUCCUGAACCAUCCCUUAGUUAUGCUGCUAUAGGCCUAGACUAUCGGGGGAUUUCCCAUGGUGCACUGAGCUCCUCUCUUCCUCUCUCUUUCUGCACUCAUUCAUGUCCCUUUAAUGCAUGUUACUAACUUCACUUCUUCCCCGGAGUUCUUGUGCUUUCUCGUCUCGCAGGUUCUCAUGGAUCCUGGUGGAGCCUCCUGCCAUGGUCCUGCUUGACUGCCAUUGCCAAUACUGUUGUUGCUGUGCACCUGUCUGUCUGUCUGUCUGUCUCUGUCUGUCUGUCUGUCUGUCUCUGUCUGUCUGUCUGUCUGUCUGUCUGUCUCUCUCUCUCUCUGUCUGUCUCUGUCUCUAUCUGUCUGUCUCUCUCUCUCUCUCUCUCUCUCUCUCUCUCUCUCUCUCUCUCUCUCACCCCAACUGGUCGAGACAGACGACCACCCACCUAGAGCCGGAGGAUCUGUCCUAGGUUUCUGCCUUUUAACAGGCAGUGUUUCCUUGCCCUUGUCUCCAAGUGCUUGCUCAUGGUGGUACUGUUGGGUCUCUGUAAUUAAUGUUAUAAAGAGUUCGGUCUAGACCUGCUCUAUUUGAAAAGUGUCCUGAGAUAACUUCUGUUAUGAAUUGGUGCUAUACAAAUAAAAUUGAAUUGAACUUCACACGGCUUGUUUGGUCCAAACCUCAAAAUGAUUACUGACACAGAAACAUUAUUAAUGAUACAGAAACAUUAUUGGAGCCAUUCAAAAGAAAAACAGCCGAUCUGGAACGUUUAACAUUCAAUGAUUAAUUAAUGAAUUGAUUAUUUAAUCUGCACAUUUAUGAGUUUAAUUUAUAACUAAACAUAUUUAAAAAAGUCUUUAUGUGUAAAAAGCUGUCAAAUAAAGCUUAUUUAUUUAUAUUUUUGUGUGAUUUGUAUAUUUGUAUAUUCAUGCACCAAUGCAUUCGGACACAUUGGCAAUAAACAUAAUCCUGA